CUACGGGUUGCACCAGUGGGGAAUAUUGCACAAUGGGCGCAAGCCUGAUGCAGCAACGCCGCGUGAGGGAUGAAGGCCUUCGGGUUGUAAACCUCUUUUAGCAGGGAAGAAGCGAAAGUGACGGUACCUGCAGAAAAAGCACCGGCUAACUACGUGCCAGCAGCCGCGGUAAUACGUAGGGUGCAAGCGUUGUCCGGAAUUAUUGGGCGUAAAGAGCUCGUAGGCGGUUUGUCACGUCUGCUGUGAAAAUCCAAGGCUCAACCUUGGACUUGCAGUGGGUACGGGCAGGCUAGAGUGCGGUAGGGGAGAUGGGAAUUCCUGGUGUAGCGGUGGAAUGCGCAGAUAUCAGGAGGAACACCAAUGGCGAAGGCACAUCUCUGGGCCGUAACUGACGCUGAGGAGCGAAAGCGUGGGGAGCAAACAGGAUUAGAUACCCUUGUAGUC
rnacentral:rRNA from 1 species